rnacentral:tRNA from 1 species
GUUGGUAGCUCAGUGGAUCAGAGCUCAUGGUUCCAAACCAUGAAGUCAAGGAUUCAAAUCCCUAAAUAACA